CAAAGGUUAGGCAAAAUUUAAAAACAAGUUUUUAUCUUUCAGAGUCUCCAAGUGACUCCAAGUUGGUUAGUUUUGGCUACACUUUUAAGAGUUCCAAAUCACAGUGUGUGAAUGAGGUAGUUUUGUUUUUUUCUCACAAAGUGGCUACCCAGUUGGGGACUGGUUGCUGGCUCUGCUGUAGGAAGUAUCAGAGCCUGGGGCUUCUCCCUCCUAAACUCUCCCACUCCGAGAGUACAGUCCUCAUUUUCAUGAUCCAAAUAAGAACCAACUGGAGCAAACCAACUUUUCCUAAGGAAGGUACCUAGAGGUUGCCACACAAAACUUCUGUUUACCUCCUAUUGGCCAUACCUUGGUUACAGUCCCAUUCUGAAGGGAGCCUGAAUUCUUUGGCAGCUUAUCUUAGCUGAAAACUUCUGUUAUGAUGAGUGAAUAAGAAUAUAUAAAAUGUUAAACAAGCAAGAGGAUUGACACCAAUUUUGAUAUUGAAACCUCAACUCUGGUUGGUUGAUUCACAUUAGAAAAAUUCAGGGAAAGUGCAGAAUUCUUUAAUUCUGCAUCUACUAUUCUGAAAUGAUGUGUUUAGUAAGUUUUAUCACAGUCAGUAAAUUACUUAAUUCACCAAUCUUGUGCACAAUACUUUCAAAGGAGAGUGUGACAAAGUACAGGAAACCAUCAGAGAAGAGGUAUUUGUUUUUUUUCUGUGCCUGCUUUUUCUAAACAUUUUGACAGCACAUCUUAUACUUCCAGUGUUAGGCGAUUAAAAAGUUAUAUUUACAUGUGAUAUAAGAAAGAAGAGAUGAUAAGAUGCCAAGAAAGUUGCAAAGAAAAAUGCCAAGGGACAAAGAAAAUGUGUUUUUAUUAACUAUUAAGAGUCCCUAAGAGUCAGGAAUUGAGUAAAUCUUAUUUUUAAGUUACUGUUGGGACAAAUCCCCUCAAAUUUCCUGUCAGAACAAAAAGUGGUUCAUACUUGUUUUGACAUUAAUAUUGAAGUUUUAAAAGAAGCAAAAGUCCAUAUUCUCCUCCUGUUACUGUUGACCUACUUUCCAGUUUUUCUUCUUUUUUAAUCCAAAGGAGAUAGUUUGUGUAUAUUGUACAGAACUUACUAUAUCUAUUUUAUCUUAUUAAAUUAAUUUGGGGGAUUGAACCCAGGGCCUCAUUAAUGCCAAACAUGCACUUCUACUGAGCUACAACCCCAGCCCUGUUUCAAAUGUGUAUAUAUAUACGUGUAUAUAUGUAUCUAUAUAGAGAUAUACAGAUAUAUAUGUACAUACAUAUAUAUUUUUAUUUUAUUAUUUUUUUUUGUUCUAGGAUUUACCACUGAGCUAUAUCCUCAGUCCUUUUUAUUUUUUGUUUCAAGAAGGAUCUUGCUAAGUUGCUGAAGGUCUCCCUAAAUUUCUGAGGCUGGCCUUGAAUCUGUGAUCCUCCUGUCUCAGCCUUCCAAAUUGCUGGUAUUACAUGUAUGUGCCAUCAUGCCUGGCUUCAAAUAUAUUUUAAAGACACUUUCUCUUGAGUUCUUUCUAUUAGGUAUUUAAACUGUGCUGCCUUAUAUUCUUAAACCAUUCAAUGGAAUGCAUUAGACGAGUUACUUCACCUUUUUAAAACUGUAUGUAAUAAUACAGUGACUGUGAAAUACAAUGUUAUGUAAAAUAAACUCUAAAGUCUCUUUCAAUUAUAAAACCUUUUAUCCUCUAAGAUUCUUUUGCUUUUGUGGUACUUGAGGAUCAAACCAAGAACCUCACGUAUGCUAGGCAAGCACUCUACCAUUGAGCUAAACCCUAGUCUCAGGUGCAAUACCUUAAGGGUAAAGAUGUUGCCUUGGGCUAAGGAGAACUGCUUUGACCUCAACUGUUUCCAUAGAAAUAAAUUUCCUUAAAUGUAAACACAUCCUGUGUUCUGUAUCCUGGUAUGAAGUGUGAAAAUAAACCCAAGAGAUACCGUUUUGUAUGCCGUGGUCCUAGGUUAAGUUAUUGCCUUAUUCAUGAAGGAGGGUUUUCUUUAAUGAUGCAGUUUACAGUUGUAAUUUUUCAGGGGCUGAUACUGCUUCUACAGGAAGAGUUCUUCAUGGGAAGUGUAGGAGGAAGUUAGUCACCUAAAGACACUCCUGUACCAUAGGCAAUAACCUUCCAGUUUCAGGAUAUACUCUGGAGGGUCCUUGGGUUUCCCUCCCCACCCCUGCAAGUAGAAUGACUAAGCUACCCUGACAACAGUCUGAAGGAAAAAGACACUUAGCACAAGGCUUGCUUAAUUGUGGUUGUCUUGGGUGGCCUACAGGUGAAAGGAAAUGGGGAUAGAAUGAUAAAGGAAGAAUAAAAACAGGAAACAGAUGUCUGUGAUGUAUAAUGCUCAGCUGGUACUUAUUUGGUGAGCAUGGGGCUUAGUCACAAACAGCUGUAUCCUGGUCUUAAUAUAAUUGUGUAGAUCAUUCUCAAACAGGCAAAAACAGUCACAAAAAUCCGUCUAUUCUGUUAAACAAAGAUAAUCCUUAAAUCACUGUAUAGCAGGGAGACUCAGGUUUAUUUUAACUGCAACAAUGCUGUGCUCUAAGGUACUGGUAUACUGAGCCCCUUAAACAAUUUAUGAGGAUCUCAGAGGAUUCCAGAUGGAAACUUUAUCUUAGGGUUCACCUCCCUUGAAAAUCUAACUAUAAAAGCAGGAGGGCUUCAGUCCCAAUUUUAGUCCUUUUCUGGUAUGUAGCUUCAACUGUUUUCAGUGUACAUGUUUUUUGAAGUCCAAAACACCUUGAGUUAAUGAUUUAAAAGAUUUCUAAACUCCUUAGACAAAUAAUUGCUAUGGAUUUUCCAUUUAUUGAGUUUCUGGAUUUUCUUUUCUUUUUCAAUAUAAAGUUACCCUCUAUUCUUUAAACAAUGAGGCUCUGCUAUAGUAGGGAAAAUGUCAGAUAAGUAUGGGGUCACUCAAUUUAGUCUGUAUCAGAGAAUUAAAUGUGCUCUCUGGGGUUAGUACAAAUUCCAGAAUGUCUGUUAACUUUCUUUCUCCUUAAGAUUUUAAUAUAAGAUUUUUCUUAAGGAAAAAGGAAGUAACAUUUAUAGAAUGGCUCCAACUAUAGAAUUAUAGAAGAUACACUAGAUGUCAGACUGGCUUUACAAAUAUUGACUACUUUUGAUCCUCUUAAUUACUAUAUGUGGUAAGAUAUCCAUUUUUCAGAUAGUAAAACUGAGGCAUAGAGAGAUGAAAUAAUGUGAAGGUCACACAGCUAGUACUAGCAUUGAGCCCAAGUAAACUACUCCAAGUGCCUCUGCAAAUCCAGGUGUGGUGAUACCAGAGGCUGUGCUACUUGCAAGAACCAAGCUGUAUCUCUUCAGCGAGGCAUCCAGAGACAACCAUUUUGAAUUGAACUUUUGCCUUUUCCAGAAUCCUUAUAAAUUGAACCAUGUCUGACCUUUUUCACUUAGCAUGAUGUAUUUGUGAGAUGCAUCCAUACAGUCAUCGACAGGUAGUUCAUUCCUUUUAAUUGCAGAGUGGUGGUCUCUUAUGUGAAUAUAUUAUGUUUGUUCACCUAUUUAAAUUCAGGUUGCUUCCAGUUCUUAGUGAUUCUUUAUUUUUUUGGUAUCAGGGAUUGAACCCAGGGGCACAUAACCACUGAGGCACAUCCUCAGCCCUUUUUCUGUAUUUUACUUAGAGACAGGGUCUCACUGAGUUGCUUAGGACCUCGAAAAGUUGCUGAGGCUGUCUUUGAACUCAGGAUCCUCCUGCCUCAGCCUCCAGAGCUGCUGGAUUACAGCUGUGUACCACCACACUUGGCUUUAGAGAUACUUAAUAAAGGUACUGUAAUUAUAUAUAAUUUCCUUCCUACCUAUGUUAUUGUGCACAAAAAUAAUGUGCUUUCUUUUUGCUUAUGAAUCUGUGUUCCACCAAAUAAUUUAUUUAUUCAUUCCCUUGUUGAUAGACAAUUAAAUUGUUUACAGUGUUUGUGUUUUAAAAGAACCUGCUAUGAACAUUUUUGUGUAGUAAGUCUUUGUAUGGAUAUCAUGUUUUCCUUUCUCAUGGAUAAAUGUUGAGGAGUGGGAUGUCUGGAUCAUAUUUACACCAAACUGUUUUCUUUCUAAAGUGGUUGUACCAUUUUACAUUGCCACUAACAGCAUGAGAUUCAGUUUCUCUACCUUUUUCCCAGCAUAUGUGGGCCAUCUUUUUCAAUUUCAGCAAGAUUAGUUAGCUUCUUAUAGUUUCAAUUUGCAUGUUCCUAAUGACAAAUGAUCCUGACAUCUUUUCGUGUGCUUAUUUGACAUUUAUAUAUCUUCUUUAAUGAAGAACUAUUUUUGCCAUUUAAAAACUGGAUUAUUUUAUUGAUGUUUGAGUAUAUUUUUAAUAUGUAAUGCAUAUUAUUAGAUACAUAUUUUGCAAAUAGUUUUUGCCUGUCGGGGGUUUUUGUUUCCAUUUUCUUGACACUGCAAGACUCUUAAUUAAUUAAUUAAUGGUUCUUUUAAGUUCACAUGACAAUAAAAUUUAUUUUGAUAUAAUUUUAAUUUUAAUGAAGUCCAGUUUAUCAUUUUUUUCUUUUAUGAGUGAUGCUUUUAGUGUUAUAUCUAAGAUAUUGUCACCUAACCCAAAGCCACAAAGAUUUUCUCCUCUUUUUCUUUUGAAAGUUUUCUUAGUUCCUGAUUUUACAUUUAGGCCUAUGAUGCUUUUCAAGUUAGUUUUGGUUUAGGGUGUGAGGGAGGUAUGGAUCAACAUCAUUAAUUUUUUUCAUUACAUAAGUAUGUCCUAUGGUUUCAACAUCAUUUGUUGAAAAGACAAUCUCUUUGCACCUUUGACUAAAAUCAACUAACCAGACGUGUGUGAGUCUUCUCUUUUGUUCCAUUUUCCUGUUCCAAAUAUUUUUUUGUUCCAUUGACUUAUCUACCUUAUUGUCAGUAUUGUACUGUCUUGAUUAUGGAGCUUUAGACUAGGUCUGUAGAUCAGGUAGUGUGAGUCCUCCAAUGAUGGUCUUUUCAGAAUUGUUUUGGGUGGUCUAGUUCCUUUCAUUUCCUUUAAAAAUUUCAGAAUUAGCUUGUUACUUUCUAUGAAAAAUGACCUGUUCCGGGAUUUUUAUUGUAAUUGUGUUGAAUCCUGUAGAAUUAUUUGGGGAGAAUUGACAGCUUCACAAUAUCGAAUCUUGCAAGUACGAAUGUAGUGUAUCUCUCCUUUUAUUUUGGUCUUUGAUAUUUUCUUGAUGUUUUGUAUUUUUUGGUAUACAGAUCCUGAACAUGUUUUAUCAUAUUUGUAACACCUUUCUUUUGUUGUCUAAUUGUGCUAGCUAGGACAUCCAGUAUGAUGACAAAUAGCAUUAAUGAGAGCAUGCUUCCAGAUUUUAGGAAAAACUGUUUUACAUUGUUAAAUAUAAUAUUAGCUAUAGAUUAUUUGUAUAGACACUUUGUAAAUUGGGAAUGUUCUUUGUUUUCCUUGGUUUGCUCACAGUUUGCAAUGAAUGGUGGUUGAAUUUUAUAACAGGAUUUAAAAAUAUUUAUUGAGAUGAUCGAAUGUUUUCUUUAGUUUCUUGAUGUGAUAUUUAUUGAGAUGAUCGAAUGUUUUCUUUAGUUUCUUGAUGUGAUAUUUAUUGAGAUGAUCGAAUGUUUUCUUUAGUUUCUUGCAUUGAUUUUCAAGGUGGAACUAACUUGCAUUCCCAUGAUUUGCUAAUAUGCUGUUAAGGAUAUUUUUCCCCCUCUGUGUACAUGUGGGAUAUUGGUUUGUAAUAUUUUGGGUUUUCAUUUCAGGGUAAUUAUGGCCUCAUAAAAUAAAUUGGG
rnacentral:lncRNA from 1 species